rfam:Stegodyphus mimosarum contig107711, whole genome shotgun sequence.
GAAACGGCCCUUUUCAGGGCCAAGUAAUUUCUCGUCGGAAAUUCAGU